rnacentral:rRNA from 1 species
UACGUAGGGUGCGAGCGUUUGUCCGGAAUUAUUGGGCGUAAAGAGCUCGUAGGCGGUGUGUCGCGUCGGCCGUGAAAACCUGGGGUCAACUCUGGGCGUGCGGUCGAUACGGGCAUCACUUGAGUUCGGCAGGGGAGACUGGAAUUCCUGGUGUAGCGGUGAAAUGCGCAGAUAUCAGGAGGAACACCGGUGGCGAAGGCGGGUCUCUGGGCCGAUACUGACGUGAGGAGCGAAAGCAUGGGUAGCGAACGG